GACGAACGCUGGCGGCGUGCCUAAUACAUGCAAGUCGAACGCAGUGGCGACGGGUGAGUAACACGUGGGUAACCUCCCAUCAGAGGGGAUAACACUUGGAAACAGGUGCUAAACCGAUAUUGUAGGAUCGACCCGCGGUGCAUUAGCCACUUGGUGAGGUAACGGCUGACCAAGGCCACGAGGCAUAACCGGCCGGAGAGGGUGAUCGGCAACACUGGGACUGAGACACGGCCCAGACUCAUACGAGAGGCAGCAGUAGGGAAUCUUCGGCAAUGGACGAAAGUCUGACCGAGCAACGCCGCGUGAGUGCAGAAGGUUUUCGGAUCGUAAAACUCUGUUGUUAGAGAAGCGGUAUCUAACCAGAAAGCCACGGCUAACUACGUGCCAGCAGCCGCGGUAAUUC
rnacentral:rRNA from 1 species